rnacentral:rRNA from 1 species
CCUACGGGAGGCAGCAGUGAGGAAUAUUGGCCAAUGGGCUUACGCCUGAACCAGCCAAGUAGCGUGAAGGAUGACUGCCCUACGGGUUGUAAACCUCUUUUAUCAAGGAAUAAAGUGAGGCACGUGUGCCUUUUUGCAUGUACUUUAUGAAUAAGGAUCGGCUAACUCCGUGCCAGCAGCCGCGGUAAUACGGAGGAUCCGAGCGUUAUCCGGAUUUAUUGGGUUUAAAGGGAGCGUAGAUGGGCUGUUAAGUCAGUUGUGAAAGUUUGCGGCUCAACCGUAUAAUUGCAUUUGAUACU